AUCAGGGUUCGAUUCCGGAGAGGGAGCCUUAAAAACGGCUACCACAUCCAAGGAAGGCAGCAGGCACGCAAAUUACCCAAUGGUCGAAGACCGAGGUAGUGACGAAAAAUAACAAUACAAGACUCUUCCGAGGCCUUGUAAUUGGAAUGAGUACACUUUAAAACCGUUCCCGAGGAUCUAUUGGAGGGCAAGUCUGGUGCCAGCGGCCGCGGUAAUUCCAGCUCCAAUAGCGUAUAUUAAAGUUGUUGUGGUUAAAAAGCUCGUAGUUGGAUUUCGGCGGGUAGUGGUCGGUUUGAAUUGCUUCAACACUGGCUUUUUUACCCGUGUGUUUUGCCAGAAUUUAACGGGUGAUCUUCGCCGAUUGUCCGUUAGAACUGGCAGGUUUACUUUGAAAAAAUUAGAGUGCUCAAAGCAAGCUUGAUUGCUUGAAUAUUCGUGCAUGGAAUAAUAGAAUAGGAAGUCGUUUCUAUUUUGUUGGUUUUCGGAAAUCGACUUAAUGAUUAAUAGGGAUAGUCGGGGGCAUUUGUAUUCAAACGACAGAGGUGAAAUUCUUGGACCGUUUGAAGACAAACUACUGCGAAAGCAUUUGCCAAGAAUGUUUUCAUUAAUCAAGAACGAAAGUUAGAGGUUCGAAGGCGAUUAGAUACCGCCCUAGUUCUAACCAUAAACGAUGCCAGCUAGCGAUCUGCCGGUGCUUGAUUUUCUGGCCCGGCAGGCAGCUUCCGGGAAACCAAAGCUUGUGGGUUCCAGGGGAAGUAUGGUUGCAAAGCUGAAACUUAAAGGAAUUGACGGAAGGGCACCACCAGGAGUGGAGCCUGUGGCUUAAUUUGACCCAACACGGGAAAUCUCACCAGGCCCGGACACCAGAAGGAUUGACAGAUUGAUAGCUCUUUCUUGAUUUGGUGGGUGGUGGUGCAUGGCCGUUCUUAGUUGGUGGAGUGAUUUGUCUGGUUAAUUCCGAUAACGAACGAGACUCUGUCCUGUUAAAUAGAUCCAACCUAGUUGUAGGGUUGGAAUGUCUUCUUAGAGGGACUGGUGAUUAUUAGUCACACGAGAUUGAGCAAUAACAGGUCUGUGAUGCCCUUAGAUGUUCUGGGCCGCACACGCGCUACACUGAAGUGAUCAGCUAGUUUUUCCCUCUCCGAGAGGAGCGGGUAAACUGUUGAACCCACUUCGUGGUAGGGAUCGGAGCUUGCAAUUAUUCUCCGUGAACCAGGAAUUCCCAGUAGGUGCAAGUCAUAAGCUUGCAUCGAUUACGUCCCUGCCCUUUGUACACACCGCCCGUCGCUACUACCGAUUGAGUGUUUUAGUGAGGACCUCGGAUUGCUUGCCUGGCGGUUAACGCUGCCUAGCUGGCGAAAAGACGUCCAAACUGUAGCACUUAGAGGAAGUAAAAGUCGUAACAAGGUU
rnacentral:rRNA from 1 species